rnacentral:rRNA from 1 species
CGCGGCCUAUCAGCUUGUUGGUGGGGUAAUGGCCUACCAAGGCGACGACGGGUAGCCGGCCUGAGAGGGCGACCGGCCACACUGGGGCUGAGACACGGCCCAGACUCCUACGGGAGGCAGCAGUGGGGAAUAUUGCACAAUGGGCGAAAGCCUGAUGCAGCGACGCCGCGUGAGGGAUGACGGCCUUCGGGUUGUAAACCUCUUUCAGCAGGGACGAAGCGUAAGUGACGGUACCUGCAGAAGAAGCGCCGGCCAACUACGUGCCAGCAGCCGCGGUAAGACGUAGGGCGCGAGCGUUGUCCGGAUUUAUUGGGCGUAAAGAGCUCGUAGGCGGCUUGUCGCGUCGACUGUGAAAACCCGCAGCUCAACUGCAGGCCUGCAGUCGAUACGGGCAGGCUAGAGUUCGGUAGGGGAGACUGGAAUUCCUGGUGUAGCGGUGGAAUGCGCAGAUAUCAGGAGGAACACCGGUGGCGAAGGCGGGUCUCUGGGCCGAUACUGACGCUGAGGAGCGAAAGCGUGGGGAGCGAACAGGAUUAGAUACCCUGGUAGUCCACGCUGUAAACGUUGGGCGCUAGGUGUGGGGGACCUCUCCGGUUCUCUGUGCCGCAGCUAACGCAUUAAGCGCCCCGCCUGGGGAGUACGG